rnacentral:lncRNA from 1 species
AGAGGACCUCGGGAAUGUAGACAGGAUUGGCAGCCCUUCCCAGAGCCUUCAGGAAACCCCACCAAACUGCCGGGAGCUGGCAUGCUUACUGGGACUGCAU